GUCACAUUGUGGUGAAAAAUAUUGUCUCGGCAUUCAAACUUCCUACAUGUGAAAAGGGCUGCCUACUGUUAUUAUUUGGAUUUUCCUUUUUUUAUAUCCAGAAAGAAGUGUAUAGUGAAACACUUAGGAACUAGGUCUACUUUCUUUUUUGAGAGGAAAGGAAUUGAAAUUAGGUCUAUUUUCUUGUGCUUAGGGAUUGAACUUUUCAAG
rnacentral:misc_RNA from 1 species